rnacentral:rRNA from 1 species
CCUACGGGGGGCAGCAGUGAGGAAUAUUGGUCAAUGGACGAGAGUCUGAACCAGCCAAGUAGCGUGAAGGAUGACUGCCCUAUGGGUUGUAAACUUCUUUUAUAUGGGAAUAAAAUGUUCCACGUGUGGGAUUUUGUAUGUACCAUAUGAAUAAGGAUCGGCUAACUCCGUGCCAGCAGCCGCGGUAAUAAGGAGGAUCCGAGCGUUAUCCGGAUUUAUUGGGUUUAAAGGGAGCGUAGGUGGAUUGUUAAGUCAGUUGUGAAAGUUUGCGGCUCAACCGUAAAAUUGCAGUUGAAACUGGCAGUCUUGAGUACAGUAGAGGUGGGCGGAAUUCGUGGUGUAGCGGUGAAAUGCUUAGAUAUCACGAAGAACUCCGAUUGCGAAGGCAGUUCACUGGACUGCAACUGACACUGAGGCUCGAAAGUGUGGGUAUCAAACAGGAUUAGAUACCCCUGUAGUC